UACGUAGGGUGCGAGCGUUGUCCGGAAUUAUUGGGCGUAAAGGGUGCGUAGGUGGCAUGGUAAGUUGAAGGUGAAAUCUCGGAGCUCAACUCCGAAACUGCCUUCAAUACUGCUGUGCUCGAGGACUGUAGAGGAGAAUGGAAUUCACGGUGUAGCAGUGAAAUGCGUAGAUAUCGUGAGGAAGACCAGUGGCGAAGGCGAUUCUCUGGGCAGUUCCUGACGCUGAGGCACGAAGGCGAGGGGAGCAAACGGG
rnacentral:rRNA from 1 species